rnacentral:rRNA from 1 species
AGAGUUUGAUCCUGGCUCAGAACGAACGCUUGCGGCGUGCUUAACACAUGCAAGUCGAACGAGAAAGGGACUUCGGUCCUGAGUAAAGUGGCGCACGGGUGAGUAACGCGUAGGUAAUCUACCCCUGUGUUCGGGACAACAUCGGGAAACUGGUGCUAAUACCGGAUACGUUUCACGGAUUGCGAAAUAAGUGAAGGAAAGGUGGCGCCCCUUCGGGGGGCUAUCGCACGGGGAUGAGCCUGCGUACCAUUAGCUAGUUGGCAGGGUAAGGGCCUACCAAGGCGACGAUGGUUAGCGGGUCUGAGAGGAUGAUCCGCCACACUGGAACUGAAACACGGUCCAGACUCCUACGGGAGGCAGCAGUGAGGAAUUUUGCACAAUGGGGGAAACCCUGAUGCAGCGACGCCGCGUGAGUGACGAAGGCCUUCGGGUCGUAAAGCUCUGUCAGUAGGGAAGAAAUGUGCGAUGGCUAAUAUCCAUUGUACUUGACGGUACCUACAAAGGAAGCACCGGCUAACUCCGUGCCAGCAGCCGCGGUAAUACGGAGGGUGCGAGCGUUGUUCGGAUUUACUGGGCGUAAAGGGCGCGUAGGCGGUCUUAUAAGCCAGAUGUGAAAGCCCACGGCUCAACCGUGGAAGUGCAUCUGGAACUGUAAGACUUGAGUACUGGAGGGGAGUGUGGAAUUCCCGGUGUAGAGGUGAAAUUCGUAGAUAUCGGGAGGAAUACCGGUGGCGAAGGCGACACUCUGGACAGAUACUGACGCUGAGGCGCGAAAGCGUGGGGAGCAAACAGGAUUAGAUACCCUGGUAGUCC